rnacentral:misc_RNA from 1 species
GAUGAAGAACGCAGCGAAAUGCGAUACGUAAUGUGAAUUGCAGAAUUCAGUGAAUCAUCGAGUCUUUGAACGCACAUUGCGCCCCCUGGUAUUCCGGGGGGCAUGCCUGUCCGAGCGUCAUUGCUGCCCUCAAGCACGGCUUGUGUGUUGGGCCUCCGUCCUCCUCCCGGGGGACGGGCCCGAAAGGCAGCGCCGGCACCGCGUCCGGUCCUCGAGCGUAUGGGGCUUCGUCACCCGCUCUUGUAGGCCCGGCCGGCGCUUGCCGACACAUCAAUCUUUUUUCCAGGUUGACCUCGAAUCAGGUAGGGAUACCCGCUGAACUUAAGCAUAUCAAUAAGCGGAGGA